UGUCAGCUCCUUUUCAGGAUCAGCUGUUAAACAGACGACAUGCUCCAAAAAAGAAACAGCCUGCCUCAAACAGCUUUAUACAUUUACAAUCUCUAACUCUUUCAUGGAUGGGUGAGCUUGGAAAAUCAUUUUGAAUGGAAAUUGGCUGGACCGGUUAGCAGACGUCAGCUACGUAUUGGAUCAUUGUCACCAGCAUGAAAUUGCACAGAAAAAUAGAUACAAACUUUACCCAGGGGGAAC